ACGAAGGGGGCGAGCGUUGUUCGGAUUUACUGGGCGUAAAGGGCGCGCAGGCGGCCUCUCAAGUCAGGCGUGAAAGCCCCGGGCUUAACCUGGGAAUGGCGUCUGGGACUGAGGGGCUAGAGAUCGGGAGAGGAGAGUGGAAUUCCCAGUGUAGAGGUGAAAUUCGUAGAUAUUGGGAAGAACACCGGUGGCGAAGGCGGCUCUCUGGACCGAGACUGACGCUGAGGCGCGAAAGCGUGGGGAGCAAACA
rnacentral:rRNA from 1 species